rnacentral:rRNA from 1 species
GGGUUGUGAGGUUAAGCGACUAAGCGUACACGGUGGAUGCCCUGGCAGUCAGAGGCGAUGAAGGACGUGCUAAUCUGCGAUAAGCGUCGGUAAGGUGAUAUGAACCGUUAUAACCGGCGAUUUCCGAAUGGGGAAACCCAGUGUGUUUCGACACACUAUCAUUAACUGAAUCCAUAGGUUAAUGAGGCGAACCGGGGGAACUGAAACAUCUAAGUACCCCGAGGAAAAGAAAUCAACCGAGAUUCCCCCAGUAGCGGCGAGCGAACGGGGAGGAGCCCAGAGCCUGAAUCAGUGUGUGUGUUAGUGGAAGCGUCUGGAAAGGCGCGCGAUACAGGGUGACAGCCCCGUACACAAAAAUGCACAUGCUGUGAGCUCGAUGAGUAGGGCGGGACACGUGGUAUCCUGUCUGAAUAUGGGGGGACCAUCCUCCAAGGCUAAAUACUCCUGACUGACCGAUAGUGAACCAGUACCGUGAGGGAAAGGCGAAAAGAACCCCGGCGAGGGGAGUGAAAAAGAACCUGAAACCGUGUACGUACAAGCAGUGGGAGCCUCUUUUAUGGGGUGACUGCGUACCUUUUGUAUAAUGGGUCAGCGACUUAUAUUCUGUAGCAAGGUUAACCGAAUAGGGGAGCCGAAGGGAAACCGAGUCUUAACUGGGCGUUAAGUUGCAGGGUAUAGACCCGAAACCCGGUGAUCUAGCCAUGGGCAGGUUGAAGGUUGGGUAACACUAACUGGAGGACCGAACCGACUAAUGUUGAAAAAUUAGCGGAUGACUUGUGGCUGGGGGUGAAAGGCCAAUCAAACCGGGAGAUAGCUGGUUCUCCCCGAAAGCUAUUUAGGUAGCGCCUCGUGAAUUCAUCUCCGGGGGUAGAGCACUGUUUCGGCAAGGGGGUCAUCCCGACUUACCAACCCGAUGCAAACUGCGAAUACCGGAGAAUGUUAUCACGGGAGACACACGGCGGGUGCUAACGUCCGUCGUGAAGAGGGAAACAACCCAGACCGCCAGCUAAGGUCCCAAAGUCAUGGUUAAGUGGGAAACGAUGUGGGAAGGCCCAGACAGCCAGGAUGUUGGCUUAGAAGCAGCCAUCAUUUAAAGAAAGCGUAAUAGCUCACUGGUCGAGUCGGCCUGCGCGGAAGAUGUAACGGGGCUAAACCAUGCACCGAAGCUGCGGCAGCGACACUAUGUGUUGUUGGGUAGGGGAGCGUUCUGUAAGCCUGUGAAGGUGUACUGUGAGGUAUGCUGGAGGUAUCAGAAGUGCGAAUGCUGACAUAAGUAACGAUAAAGCGGGUGAAAAGCCCGCUCGCCGGAAGACCAAGGGUUCCUGUCCAACGUUAAUCGGGGCAGGGUGAGUCGACCCCUAAGGCGAGGCCGAAAGGCGUAGUCGAUGGGAAACAGGUUAAUAUUCCUGUACUUGGUGUUACUGCGAAGGGGGGACGGAGAAGGCUAUGUUGGCCGGGCGACGGUUGUCCCGGUUUAAGCGUGUAGGCUGGUUUUCCAGGCAAAUCCGGAAAAUCAAGGCUGAGGCGUGAUGACGAGGCACUACGGUGCUGAAGCAACAAAUGCCCUGCUUCCAGGAAAAGCCUCUAAGCAUCAGGUAACAUCAAAUCGUACCCCAAACCGACACAGGUGGUCAGGUAGAGAAUACCAAGGCGCUUGAGAGAACUCGGGUGAAGGAACUAGGCAAAAUGGUGCCGUAACUUCGGGAGAAGGCACGCUGAUAUGUAGGUGAAGCGACUUGCUCGUGGAGCUGAAAUCAGUCGAAGAUACCAGCUGGCUGCAACUGUUUAUUAAAAACACAGCACUGUGCAAACACGAAAGUGGACGUAUACGGUGUGACGCCUGCCCGGUGCCGGAAGGUUAAUUGAUGGGGUCAGCGCAAGCGAAGCUCUUGAUCGAAGCCCCGGUAAACGGCGGCCGUAACUAUAACGGUCCUAAGGUAGCGAAAUUCCUUGUCGGGUAAGUUCCGACCUGCACGAAUGGCGUAAUGAUGGCCAGGCUGUCUCCACCCGAGACUCAGUGAAAUUGAACUCGCUGUGAAGAUGCAGUGUACCCGCGGCAAGACGGAAAGACCCCGUGAACCUUUACUAUAGCUUGACACUGAACAUUGAGCCUUGAUGUGUAGGAUAGGUGGGAGGCUUUGAAGUGUGGACGCCAGUCUGCAUGGAGCCGACCUUGAAAUACCACCCUUUAAUGUUUGAUGUUCUAACGUUGACCCGUGAUCCGGGUUGCGGACAGUGUCUGGUGGGUAGUUUGACUGGGGCGGUCUCCUCCUAAAGAGUAACGGAGGAGCACGAAGGUUGGCUAAUCCUGGUCGGACAUCAGGAGGUUAGUGCAAUGGCAUAAGCCAGCUUGACUGCGAGCGUGACGGCGCGAGCAGGUGCGAAAGCAGGUCAUAGUGAUCCGGUGGUUCUGAAUGGAAGGGCCAUCGCUCAACGGAUAAAAGGUACUCCGGGGAUAACAGGCUGAUACCGCCCAAGAGUUCAUAUCGACGGCGGUGUUUGGCACCUCGAUGUCGGCUCAUCACAUCCUGGGGCUGAAGUAGGUCCCAAGGGUAUGGCUGUUCGCCAUUUAAAGUGGUACGCGAGCUGGGUUUAGAACGUCGUGAGACAGUUCGGUCCCUAUCUGCCGUGGGCGCUGGAGAACUGAGGGGGGCUGCUCCUAGUACGAGAGGACCGGAGUGGACGCAUCACUGGUGUUCGGGUUGUCAUGCCAAUGGCACUGCCCGGUAGCUAAAUGCGGAAGAGAUAAGUGCUGAAAGCAUCUAAGCACGAAACUUGCCCCGAGAUGAGUUCUCCCUGACUCCUUGAGAGUCCUGAAGGAACGUUGAAGACGACGACGUUGAUAGGCCGGGUGUGUAAGCGCAGCGAUGCGUUGAGCUAACCGGUACUAAUGAACCGUGAGGCUUAACCUUACAACGCCGAAGCUGUU